AGGGAAAUCUCUUGUGUCUCCAGCAGCAAGGAAAAGACACUCUCCCAACAACAACAACAACAACAACAACAACAAAAAAGACAUCGUCCUCAGCUACAAACAAAAACACGGAGUCGCGGGGUGGGGAAGGAAGCAGAAAGAAAAAUCCCACACACACACACACACGAGAGAAAGAAUUACCUGGGGACAAAAACAGAGGAGAAAAUUCAGAUGCAAUCUCCAGCAACUCUUCUUUCUCUUUCCCUUGUGAAGCUCCAAGCAACCAAGGCAUUCAUGCGGUAGAGGGACGGAAGCCGUUGGUAACAUUUUGGGGUUGUUGGAGUGGCUGGAUUUUUCCUGGAAUUGAGCAAUAAAUUCAGAAGACUGAAGCCCAGGCUUACUGUCUACCUUUCACGGAGGCCAAGCCGUGAGAGGACAGAGGAAGGAACGUGGCGAAUCAUGACAGCAGAUAAAGAGAAAGAUCGUGAUCGGGACAAGGAGAGAGAGAGAAGGGAUAAACGAGAGAAUGAGCAUUCCAGGCCACGUCGCAGCUGUACUUUGGAAGGAGGUGCUAAGAAUUAUGCAGAAAGUGACCACACUGAAGAUGAAGAAAAUGACAAAGACAGUGCUACUAAUGAGGAUGCUGGGAAGAAGUCAAAAAUAAAAAAAACACCAAAAAAGAAAUCACGUUAUGAGAGAGCAGAGACCGGUGAUAUAACUUCAUUUGUAACAGAGGACGAUGUUGUCUACAGGCCUGGAGAUUGUGUUUAUAUAGAGAGUCGUCGCCCCAACACACCUUACUUUAUCUGCAGUAUCCAAGAAUUCAAACUGGCUGAAAUCUGUGCUCGUCAAUCGUCUAAUGCCCAAGGAAGACUUCGUAAUCUACUACCUGAACCAAGCAAACGAGACCACCUGUUAAUGAAUGUCAAGUGGUACUAUCGUCAGUCAGAGGUGCCAGAUUCAGUCUACCAGCAUCUGGUUCAGGAUCGACACAACGAGAAUGAUUCUGGCCGUGAGCUUGUGAUCACAGACCCAGUAAUUAGGAGUCGGGAACUCUUCAUUUCGGAUUAUGUAGACACCUACCAUGCAGCAGCACUCAGAGGGAAAUGCAAUAUUAUACAUUUUUCUGACAUAUUUGCUGCCAGAGAGUUUAAGCCACGACCGGACCAAUUUUUUUAUAUACUGGGCUAUAACCCAGAGACAAGGAGGCUGAAUAGCACCCAGGGAGAAAUCCGUGUGGGGCCCAGUCAUCAGGCUAAACUUCCAGAAUUGAAGCCUGUUCCCCUGUCCACUGGUGAAAUGGUAACUGAACACGAGGAGCUGGUCUGGACACCAGGUGUCAAUGAUUGUGAUCUCCUGAUGUACCUAAGAGCUGCCAGGAGUAUGGCUGCCUUUGCAGGGAUGUGUGAUGGUGGAUCUACAGAAGAUGGCUGUCUUGCAGCAUCUCGUGAUGAUACUACAGUAAAUGCUUUAAAUACUCUCCACGAGAGCUGUUAUGAUGCUGGAAAGGCCUUGCAGCGACUUGUUAAAAAGCCUGUGCCCAAGUUGAUAGAAAAGUGCUGGUCCGAUGAUGAAAUGAAACGCUUCAUUAAGGGCUUGAGACAGUACGGCAAGAACUUCUUCAGGAUCCGUAAAGAGCUGCUUCCAAAUAAGGAGACGGGUGAACUGGUGACAUUUUAUUACUAUUGGAAGAAGACACCUGAAGCAGCUAGCUCUCGUGCUCAUCGAAGACACCGCAGGCAGGCAGUAUUUAGAAGAAUUAAGACACGUACUGCAACAACCCCAGUGAAUCCAUCUCGGCCACCAUCUGGUGAAUUCUUGGAUCUCAGCUCCGCCAGUGAGGAUGACUUUGACAGUGAAGAUAGUGAACAGGAGCUGAAGGGCUACGCCUGUCGUCAUUGCUUCACCACCACAUCCAAAGACUGGCACCACGGAGGAAGGGACAAUAUAUUACUGUGCACAGAGUGUCGAAUUCACUUCAAGAAAUACGCAGAACUGCCGCCUAUCGAUAAACCAGUGGAUCCACCACCAUUUAUGUUUAAACCAGUCAAAGAAGAAGAAGAUGGGCUCAGUGGGAAACAUAGCAUGAGGACCAGAAGGAGCAGGGGCUCGAUGUCUUCACUGCGCAGUGGUCGUAAAAAGCAGACAGCCAGCCCUGAUGGUAGGACCUCGCCUAUCAAUGAAGACAUCAGGUCCAGUGGCCGUAAUUCUCCCAGUGCUGCCAGCACAUCCAGUAAUGAUAGCAAAACAGACUCUAUGAAAAAAUCCAGCAAGAGAUCAAAGGAUGAUGUAUCAUCGCCAUCAAAGAGUGCCAAACGCCAAAGAGAAAAGGCUGCUUCUGAUACAGAAGAAUCAGAAAGAUUAAAUGCAAAGAAAUCCAAAACACAGGAAAUCAGUAGACCAAAUUCGCCAUCUGAAGGAGAGAGUUCUGACAGCCGCAGUGUUAAUGAUGAAGGAAGCAGUGAUCCAAAGGAUAUCGAUCAAGACAAUCGCAGCACGUCACCAAGUAUACCGAGCCCAAGGGACAAUGAGAGUGAUUCUGAUUCCUCUGCACAGCAACAAGUAUUACAGCCUCCUCAACCUCCAGUACAUCAGAAUCCAUGUGCCUCUUUGCCAUUAGCACCACUGGAACCACCACAGAUGCCCCCUCCGGCAUCAUCCUGUGCUGUAUCAGUUUCUCAACAAUUGUCUCCAGUUUCACAGCCUCGAAGUCAGACACCCCCUCAUUCACUGAUGCAGCCUGCACCACAGCUUCAUCCGCAGAGACUAACAUCACCGCACCCUCCGAUUCAGCAGCAGAUGCAACCUCAGUCACAACCUCUUCCCCAGACACAGCCUCAGCUUCACACUCAGGUGCAACCAUUGCCUCAUUCUCUGCAAGCUCAGUCGCACAUACAGCACCAACUGCAAGGUCCGCCAUUCUCAAUCAAUCCUCAGCCUCCACAGCCUCAGAUACAGCCGGCUUCUGCGCAGGGGCCAACUGCAACGCACUCUCAGCAACACACUCCUACCCAAGUCCAAGCACAGCCACCACCACCUCCCCAAAUACAACCACAGUCACAACCUCCAAGAGAGCAGCCUUUGCCACCUGCUCCUGUGACUAUGCCUCAUAUUAAGCCACCCCCCACAACACCAAUUACUCCUGUUUCUAACCCACAGUCGCACAAACCACCAAACCACCUUGCAGGACCACCUCCCUUCCCACAAAUGCCUUCAAAUUUGCCGCCCCCUCCAGCUUUAAAGCCAUUGAGCUCCCUUUCCACCCAUCACACUCCCUCUGUUCAUCCACCUCCAUUGCAGUUAAUGCCUCAAACUCAACAGAUUCAGCCUCCUUCUGCUCAACCCCCAGUGUUAACUCAAGCUCAGAGCCUUCCGGUGACUGCAACUCAUCCUCAAGCAGUACCGCACCCAGUUCCUUCGCAGCUGCCGUAUGCCCAUCAUUCUUUCAUCCCAUCAGGGGCUCCUGCCAUCGCCUCUUCAUCAGCAUCUACCACCUCAAGUGUUGCACCCAUCUCUACCAUUCAGCCUACAGCUUCCAUUGUUACAUCUAUGUGUUCUGCUGGGAGCAUCACUAAUACUCCACCUGCCACAGUGACGAGCAUUCAGAUUAAAGAGGAAAUGCAGGAUGAGCCAGACGAUCCAGACAGUCCUCCUCCAUCUCCAAACAGGAGUCCAUCUCCAGAACCAACUAUUGUUAGCGCACCCAGCCAUGCCAGUCAGUCAGCCAGGUUCAUCAAACAUUUGGAUCGAGGUUACAAUUCCUGUGCACGAUCAGACUUGUACUUUGUGCCACUGCAAGGAUCAAAACUCGCCAAGAAACGGGAAGAAGUAAUCGAAAAGGCUAGGCGGGAAGCUGAGCAGAAGGCCAGAGAAGAGAAGGAGAAGGAGAAGGAAAAAGAAAAGGAGAGAGAACGCGAACGGGAACGUGAGCGGGAAGCUGAAAGAGCAGCGAAAGCUUCAAGCUCCUCCCAUGAGGGACGCAUGGCAGAAUCUCAACUUGUUGGGCCAGCUCAUUUAAGGCCUUCAUUUGAACCACCGCCCACUACCAUCGCAGCUGUCCCUCCAUACAUUGGACCAGAUACUCCAGCACUACGGACUCUCAGUGAAUAUGCAAGACCGCAUGUCAUGUCUCCAACCAAUCGUAACCAUCCAUUCUUUGUUCCAUUAAAUGCCUCUGAUCCAAUCCUGGCUUACCAUAUGCCAAGCCUCUAUAGUGCUGACCCUGCAAUGAGAGAACGUGAGCUACGUGAAAGAGAGAUUCGGGAGAGAGAGAUUCGUGAAAGGGAGUUCCGUGAAAGGAUGAAGCCAGGCUUUGAGGUUAAGCCACCUGAACUGGACGGUCUGCACCCAGCUGCUAAUCCUAUGGAUCCAUUUGCUAGGCAUGGUGCAUUAACAAUCCAACCAGCAGCUGGAGCUCAUCCAUUCCCUCCUUUCCACCAUGGAUUGAAUCCUCUAGAAAGAGAAAGACUUGCACUUGCAGGCCCUCAGUUGCGGCCUGACAUGUCUUAUGCUGAUAGACUGGCAGCAGAAAGAAUACAUGCUGAACGCAUGGCAUCUCUUGCAAAUGACCCACUUACAAGACUGCAGAUGUUCAAUGUGACGCCACAUCAUCACCAGCAUUCACACAUACAUUCGCACUUACACCUACAUCAGCAAGAUCCAUUGCACCAAGGUUCAGGAGGUGUGCAUCCAUUGGUGGAUCCUCUAGCAGCUGGGCCCCAUUUGGCUCGUUUUCCAUACCCACCAGGUGCAAUACCCAACCCACUAUUGACCCAGGCUCCACAUGAACAUGAAAUGCUCAGGCAUCAUCCUGUCUUUGGUGGACCAUAUAGAGACCUGCCUGGUGCUAUCCCAGCUCCAAUGUCAGCAGCACACCAACUGCAGGCAAUGCACGCCCAGUCAGCAGAACUACAGAGACUAGCAAUGGAACAGCAAUGGCUACAUGGCCAUCACCAUAUGCACGGAGGUCCCCUUCCUGGGCAAGAAGACUAUUAUAGGCAAGGUGGAAACCCUAGCUGCACCUGUUUAUGUAACCCAUAAAGACUGACUGGUGAAUUCUGUGAGGUAAAGACUUCUCAUUAGAUUGCAACAAGACUUCCGUCUGAAAAAGGAAAGUGACAAACCACUUUAAUUCCUGAACCAUAUGAAGGCUCACUCAGACGGGCAAAGGUCAAUCAACCAGUACUUUGGAAGGAGCUCUGACAUCCUGCAAGAAUGACAAAAAGAGAUCUUCCUAAAAAGAUUUCCAACCCCAUCCCCUCACCCCACCAAAAAAGAUCGUAUGAUUUUAUUUUGUAAUAUUCAUCUGUGGAGGGGGCUGGCUGUGGAUCGUUGCACGACAUUGCAUUUGAUUAUAUGACAGUCAAAAAUGCACGCUGAGCAGUGUUUCCAGCUGUUCUUGUAAUGGUACUAGACCGGGUUUCAAACGGUCACUGCACAAUGCAACCUAACUAAAACAAAACACAAAAAGUUAACAGAUUUAAGUUCUGAUUAUAAGUACUAUAGUACAUUUUAUUACUCCUUAAAUAAUAUGUAGGAUAUCCUCAUAAUUUUAAAGAAAAGUCAAAUCUAUGGCAUGGCUUUUGAGUUUGUAAAUAAAGAAAAUUAAACUUAUAAGUAAAGGAUUAGUUGUGGAUUUCUAAUUGGAUAACAGAUUGCAAAAGUUAAAUGUUUUAAACAGCUUCAACUCCUUUAAUUAAAGGAGAAGUUAGCUGUGUGGUAAUGUUUCCUCUGAAAUGGAGUGUUUUUUCUGUGUGUCUAGUAGCAGUGGCAUGCAUCAAAAGGUUGCAGGGAUUGUGGUCCAGACAAAUGUCAACAUAGCCUUUUAUUAUGUUCAUUAAAAUCUACAUAAAUAGUAUUUUACCAUCACUGGGUUUGGGCAUCCAUACCAUGCUGGUCAACAAUGCAGACUAUUACUAGACUGAUCUCUUGCCAACAGCAUGAAAGAAAUCUAGGCUCUCUGUUCAAAUCAUUAAAAAUAUUUUCAGUAUCCAAAAUAUUUGAGACAGUUGAAUCUUUUACCACUGUUUUAUAGUGAUAAUUUUAUGAUUUAAUAUUUAAAAAAAUUAGGAACAAAUAAGCUACUUUUGUAUUUGCGUUUAACGUAACAUCGAGCAUUUCUGCUUUCAUUAAACAUGCAUUAAAGUAUUGCACAUAACUGUGGCAUCAUGCUAAUUUUCUACUUGUCAACCUACUUUCGCAUGUGGAGAAAACCGACAGCCCAUAAUUAAAUAUCAGAUUCAAGGGCAUUAAUGUGUCACAAGUCGUCUUCACAAAAAUUAGGUAAACAGUUUGGGAGUACAGGAAAAUAGGACCAAAAGUAUGAAUUGAACUUCUGUGUUAUUCUUGAUUGUGAUCACGCACCUGUCACUCUGUCAAUCAACAAAAGUUUGUUGUCAAACAUUUAAGCAGCUCAGACCUCCCCAUUGUAGAAAUACAUUGUACACAAGUGUACUUUUCUCACUCGAUGGGAAAACAUUUAAUGAGAAGAGUUUGAGGUAGAACAAAGGCUUGUGCGUACUGGUAGAAAAGUCCUUUCUAUUUCUGAAAUAAAUGUUCUGAAAAGAUGUUGAUUCAAAGAAUAAUUAUAGUCAAUCAAAAAGAUUCAGUUUUUAAGUCCCUUUUAUAAUAUAUAUAUCAUAGCAGCUAUUUUGGUUUUGGGCUUUUGAUUACCUUGCAGAGAUUUAUACUCAUUUUACUUCAGUCCUUUACCAUUUUGCAUUAAUGUCUGAUUUCAGCAGUGUGGGUAUCUGAGAUACCAGCAAACUGAGCUGAAAACCUGUCAGUGAAUAACAUUAACUUUAGAGCAGGGGCUGACUGAUAUUGCUCUUUUGUUAAUAAUAAUGUUUUUAUAUCUUAAACAACUGAAAAUACCACUCUUAAAAUGGUUUUGAAAGUUUGAACUUUACGUUUUAUCAAAGAAGGUAUCACUUUGUUGUCAGAAGCUGAAUGCAGGGAGUCUGGCUGAUGUCUGCACUGGGUAACUGGUUUCCUGAUGGUGCGUAUUUGUCUUUCCCCUUGAUUUUAUCAAGGACUGUAUAUUUUCCAUUGUAGACUGUUAUGUGGUGUUCACUGUCAUAGGACUGUGUUUAAUUAAAAAGAACGAACUACAUGGUGUGCUCACACCCUGGAUAGUGACACAAAGGUUCAAGUUUUUAUUUUGCUUUUGUGUUUUCCGAAGUAUAAUGUUUAAUGUUGUCAAUGGUCCAGCUUCUUAUUUCACUGCAGCAUUAGCAGAAUGUACAUUCUGAUGCUAAAUUUAUAUAUAUCUUGAAGCUUAAUGUAUAUAAUAGUAGUUUGCCAUGGGAUAACACAAUGUAAACAAGAAGUAGAAGCAAAGAUUGUGAGUCCUGUGUUUUCUCCAUUUGAGUAUUUUGUAAUUUUUGAAAUAUUUGUGACUUAAAUAAACCAGACAGAGCUGCAA